UACGAAGGGGGCUAGCGUUGUUCGGAAUUACUGGGCGUAAAGGGCGCGUAGGCGGCGUGUCAAGUCAGGCGUGAAAGCCCCGGGCUUAACCUGGGAACCGCGCUUGAGACUGGCAUGCUCGAGUUCGGGAGAGGAUGGUGGAAUUCCCAGUGUAGAGGUGAAAUUCGUAGAUAUUGGGAAGAACACCGAUGGCGAAGGCAGCCAUCUGGACCGACACUGACGCUGAGGCGCGAAAGCGUGGGGAGCAAACAGG
rnacentral:rRNA from 1 species